UACGUAGGGGGCAAGCGUUGUCCGGAAUCACUGGGCGUAAAGCGCAUGUAGGCGGGAUAUUAAGUCAGGUGUGAAAACUAUGGGCUCAACCUGUAGAUUGCAUCUGAAACUGGUAUUCUUGAGUAUUGGAGAGGAAAGUGGAAUUCCUAGUGUAGCGGUGAAAUGCGUAGAUAUUAGGAGGAACACCAGUGGCGAAGGCGACUUUCUGGCCAAAAACUGACGCUGAGAUGCGAAAGCGUGGGGAGCAAACAGG
rnacentral:rRNA from 2 species